UAUUAUCUGUAUUAUUACUCUCAGUAUUAUUGCUCUUUCGUCGUUCAACUAGUUGGUCGCUUAAGUAAAUCCAAGAGUUACGUAAAUUUUCAAAAUGUAUUUAUAUACAUGAAUAUUUACAUAUGACGCAUAAUUUCGACAGUUUAUCGAAUUUCUUAUGUGAAAAAAAGGUCGUUCGAAAAGAGAUAAUGUGUCCGCGAUAUAAGAAAUUAUUAAAAGCAAAUAAUCCACUUGAAAAUCGUUUAUUACAUUGCACAAACAAAUAUUAUAUAGUUACUAAAGGUCGAAAACGACAAAGAAUAACGUGCAACUUCAAAAUUAGUAUAUUUCAUGGAACAUGGUUUUCAAGAAUGCACAUGGAUUUGACUGUAAUUUGCCGUUUUAUCGGCUAUUUCCUAAUGAUGCAACCACGAGUCAUUUAAUGAAUGAGUUGCAAAUAGAUCAACAUAUUGUUAUUGAUUGGGCGAAUUUUUAUCGAGAAUUACUUCAACAAUGGAUUGAAGAUAAACAAAUUCCAAUUGGCGGAGUGAAUAAAAUUGUAGAAAUAGAUGAAGCCAAAGUAGGAAAAAGAAAAUAUAAUACAGGACGUGUAAUUAGAGGACAGUGGGUUUUUGGUGGUAUAGAAGCAGCUAAGGAGGGUUUGGCAGAAUGGAGAGAGAGGCAAAACAUCGAUAAUAUUUUGUCCUCUUUUAUCUUUGUUGCGCGCGCAUUAUUGACAGUAAUAGCCGUCGAUGGCUAAUAACCUAAAAGUGCUGUCGAAUAUCGUUUUCUUUUGACCAUGAAGACAUGCAGCGCAUGUGGUUUUUAGAAGGAGAAAAAUGAAGAAAAAGAUAUAACUUUUCACGUAUUUCCAAAGAAAGAAGAUAUUCGGCAUUAGGAAUGGAUAGAGGCAACAAAUAAAGCUAAUUUUAUUCUCACGAGAACAAGUGUUUUAUGCAGCCAGCACUUUUCAAGUGAUUGCUUCUAUUAUCCAAGUGGCGGAUCAAAACAACGUGUCUAUUUAAAACCAGAUUCUGUACCAACCAUAUUUGGUAGACGUUUUUCCAGGAAGUUAAAAGUGCUCCUAAGAGAAAAUAUUAAUAUCAAUCUUCCAAACGACAAUACUGAAGAAAACAAUACGAUGCAGUUUGGGAAUAAAUCUUUCAAAAAAAGUACAGCUGAGUCUAACAUAAAUACAGAGAUGACAAUCUAUGAUGAUAAUACUUCUAACAUGGAUAGUAAAUGUCAAAUGGAAGUAGAAGAUACAUACAAGGGACAUGCUACAACUCCCAAAUGUAAAUUGAUUCGGCAAAGAAACCAUUUGGAAACUUUCUUUAGUGCUGUGCGUAAUCGUGGAGGAUUUAAUAAUAAUCCAACAGCUAAGCAAUUCAUUACUGCUUAUAAACGUCUAAUAGUACACACAAAUGUAGAUAUCUCUGAAUAUGCGAAUAAUAAAGUAUUAGACAAAACAACUAUCUUAAAUAUAUCUACUAUGUUAACCAAUAUCGGACGUGUAGAUAAUUUAAUUCAUUAUUCUAUUGAAAUACAA